ensembl:lncRNA MAP9-AS1 MAP9 antisense RNA 1
UUCUGCUGCCUAUCUGAUAAUCUUGAGAGUUUCACUCUUGUUGCCCAGGCUGGAGUGCAAUGGCGCGAUCUUGCUCACCGCAACCUCCACCUCCCAGGCUCAAGUGAUUCUCCUUGCCUCAGCCUCCCUAGUAGCUGGGAUUACAGUAUUCAGUCCAGGUUUAAGUCCUUCAGCAUCUGACAUUCUCCUGGCAACUGUAAUUGAAUCAAUGAUGACUCAUCUGAGAUGAGCAAGUUGGUCCAGUCAGACCAAACAAAAGACAUUCUAUAAUCAGGGGAGAAGUCUUCUCUAUAUCUCUCUUAUAUGAGCAAAUUUAAUGACCUCCACCAUCUCUAAGAACAAGCAGCUAUUUCUGUAGAGAAAGAUCAUCUUUGGAUAACAAUACAUGAUUUUAGGCUCUAAAAGUUAAAACGUGUUUGUAACGUUGAUAUUAUGCAGAGGUCUUGACAGAACUUGGCAGUCUCUGAGGCUACAGAGAAGUGUGAAAAAGAGCAUAGAGAUUUCAGAAGGAGGCAGAUUCAGUCAGACGUACUGAAUCCCGUUUGAUCUCAACUCAGGCACACUCCAGAUGGACGUAUUGAACAGCACACUGGAGUUUUUGUCCAGAAGUUUGACUUUAGAAGAUAAGAAAUAACUGAGCGUAUUACAAGCAGGAGUUAGAGGAAGAGACUCAGUACAGAAGAGACAGGAACAAAAGUUCACCUCCAUUCAAUGGGAAAGGAUACAGAUCAAGAGUUCAGGAAAAGUAGGAGAAAGAAGCUCUAUUCCAGAAGCAGUCUGGAGCACAAAGAAU